UGGCUCAGUUGGUAGAGCAUGGCGCUAGCAACGGCAGGGUUGUGGAUUCGAUUCCCAC
rnacentral:tRNA from 1 species